rnacentral:rRNA from 1 species
UACGGGGGGGCAAGCGUUGUUCGGAAUUACUGGGCGUAAAGGGCUCGUAGGCGGCGUGUCAAGUCAGGCGUGAAAGCCCCGGGCUCAACCUGGGAACCGCGCUUGAGACUGGCAUGCUCGAGUUCGGGAGAGGAUGGUGGAAUUCCCAGUGUAGAGGUGAAAUUCGUAGAUAUUGGGAAGAACACCGAUGGCGAAGGCAGCCAUCUGGACCGACACUGACGCUGAGGCGCGAAAGCGUGGGGAGCAAACAGG